GCCUAUGAUUCUCAUUACAUUAUGAUUGCAUCUGGUUCUGAUUGCUUCUAAUUUUAAAAUAAUGAAUCUUAUUUUUUGUUGCUUCUGAUUCUGAUAUUAUCUAGUUCUGUUCCUCGCAUGCAGUUCUCACUUUCGCUCUCAAGCUCUCGGUUCGGAUCGUUGUUCUCUCACUCACGGUGUUCAUUUUCAUCGAAAUUCGAAACCCUAGCGCCUCCAAUAAGAUUUGUGCGAUUUCUUCACUUUUUCCAUUCUUCGUUAUCUCGUUUCUCCAUUUUUUUUGCCAUUCUUCGUCAUCGCGAUUCUCUUUCGCGCGGCCAUUUUCCCUUUUCGUUACUUUAAUCUCCAUCUGCGUUCCAUUUUUGCCUCCGUCUACAGCUCCACCUUCAGUGAUAGUGAGAAGAGCAAGCGUGAUCUGUGAUUUAGGGUUUUGAUUUCCCCUAACAAUCAUCAUCUUCGUUGAAAUUAAUAUAUUAGUUUAUCGUCAUUUAUGCGUUUUCCUUUCUUCUUCAGCGGCUCCAGAACUAGUGAGGGUUAUCGCUUUCACUUUUACUUUGACCUAAAUUUCAGUCCACUAAAACUUUACACGGUUUCGGGGUGCUUGGAAGUCUAUUCAUGGCUAAAAGAGGUUUUAACUGUGGGGAAGGGGCUAACUUUGGGACUCCACAAUGGCUUGGCGUAGCUAAAGAAGUUGCUGUGCCUAGAGCUACAAUGAAUCAUCUUCCCAUGCUUUCCCAUCAGCAACUACUUUACUUGCUGACCGUGUCUUUUAUUUCAAGGUUUUACUAUUCUGCUUCUUUGAAAGAAACAAAAGUAGAUUGACAUGUCAUCCUCAACAACAAUAAAAGACUCCUUUGAAAUGUGGCUCAAUUUCCAUGAUCAGGUAAGUAUACUCUAAGAAACUAAUUAAUGAAUUUGUGAGCAUUUUAAUGAUUAUGGUUGUUGGUUUUUAAUUAAAAAUCAGAAGCAUUAUUUACCUGAUCCCAUAUUAGUCUGUUUUGAAAUGCAUGGUUUGUCUUCAUAAAUUAAUCUUUGAAAUAAGUCCCCAAGUUUGUUUUUCAAGACCAUGCAAACAAAGAAUUUGAGGAAUAGUUAACAUCUUACAUUAAUAUGUUGACCAAGAAAGUCUAGACUUCAUUCAAAGGAGAUCUUUUGCAGCAAGCAAACAUUGUUGGAGUUUUUUAUUUUAUUUUAUGAGAAUGAUAUCCUAGAUAACAUUCACAAAAAUCUUUUCUAGUAAUUGUUCAACUUAAUUUAUGUGUAAAUAAAAUUUUCAUUCUAAGAAAAGUAAUAUAUGUUGUAUUCAUGAAUUUGUCUU